CCUACGGGAGGCUGCAGUAGGGAAUAUUGCUCAAUGGGGGAAACCCUGAAGCAGCAACGCCGCGUGGAGGAUGAAGGUUUUCGGAUUGUAAACUCCUUUUGUUAGAGAAGAUAAUGACGGUAUCUAACGAAUAAGCACCGGCUAACUCCGUGCCAGCAGCCGCGGUAAUACGGAGGGUGCAAGCGUUACUCGGAAUCACUGGGCGUAAAGAGCGCGUAGGCGGGAUAGCAAGUCAGAUGUGAAAUCCUAGGGCUUAACCAUAGAACUGCAUUUGAAACUGGUAUUCUAGAGUAUGGGAGAGGUAGGUGGAAUUCGUGGUGUAGGGGUAAAAUCCGUAGAGAUCAAGAGGAAUACUCAUUGCGAAGGCGACCUGCUAGAACAUAACUGACGCUGAUGCGCGAAAGCGUGGGGAGCAAACAGGAUUAGAUACCCCGGUAGUC
rnacentral:rRNA from 1 species